CUCUUGAUAGCUCAGUUGGCAGAGCGAUGGACUGUAAUUGAUACCUUGUAAUCCACAGGUCGCCGGUUCAAAUCCGGCUCAGGAGA